GUUCCAGAUACCGUGUUUAAGGAUGUUAAAGUGUUAAAGGAUUUAGACCUACAAACUGGUUAAUCGACAUCUGUUGUCUUGACUCUGUUGCCUGCAGAAUAUCUCUCAUCUUCCCACCUUCCCGACUGCAAGAAGCAGCAUCAUACAGCACACUAGUGAUUCAGGUGAGACAUGCACUUUCAUUCCUCUGCUUAUUACUUAAGCAACCACUCUCAGGCUUCAUAUGUGGUUGCAAUAUCCAGUACUUCCCAGCUCAAAAGCAUCACUGGGAAGGAAGCCUGUCUUGCUUUAAUUUGGCCAACCUCUCAACUGCCAAAGACACCACAGUGAUGACAUUCAUGGGAACAGAAAAAUUCUUUGCAGCUUCAGUAUAACCAAAAAUAUCUGAUUCAGAUUCAGAGGUAAUUCCCAGGGGAAUUAAGCACCUGGGCCAAUUUCAGUGGCAGAGAAGUGUGUUCCUAAAUGUGGGAUAAAGACACUGGUAACUAGGCUGCAU